rnacentral:tRNA from 1 species
AGUCCUGCAGUGANUGUCAUAUUGAAUUGCAAAUUCAAAGAAGCAGCUUGANGCUGCCGGGGCUUC